UCGAUCUGCUGGGGGCAGAUGAAGUGGAUAUGCGCGUCCAUGCCGCCGGCAGUGAUGAUCUUGCCUUCGCCCGCAAUAGCCUCGGUCGAGGGGCCGAUGAUGAUGUCGAUAUUGGGCUGGGUAUCGGGGUUGCCGGCCUUGCCGAUGCCGGCGAUGAGGCCGUUUUUAAGCCCGAUGUCGGCCUUGUAGAUGCCGGUAUGGUCGACGAUCAGUGCAUUGGUAAUGACGGUAUCAACGGCGCCUUCGGCACGGCUGCGCUGGGAUUGGCCCAUGCCGUCGCG
rnacentral:sRNA from 1 species